GGCACAAACUUGAGAUAGAAUAGUUAAGUAGGGUCGGCUGACACUACUAAUCUACUCUACUUGAAGUUUGGGCCC
rnacentral:pre_miRNA from 1 species